AGCACUCGGCCUCUCCAACGUGAACGACGCCUUCGACACCUUGUCUUGCAUGGGUAAAAGAGGAAGCCACUAUUUUAUACCAGGGGACUUUAUUUCAUCAUUGGCUACCUUAUUUAAUAUUGGAAGGAGUGGACCACCACUGGGAUGAAGAAAUCCAAGGCUAGGCCACGUGAAUAAUCUGCAAAUGAUAAGCAACAUGACUAAUUGCUUAUUGUUUAUUAUUA
rnacentral:lncRNA from 1 species